UGUAAUUGUCCGCAAGGUGUACACGCGAAGCCGACAGUUCUGUACAUCACACAACUGCUCAAUUGGGCCAUAUAUGUACAUCAUGCACAGCAACCGCCUGUCGCCACUGGUCUACGAUCGGGAAACGAAUACAACGGUUGUCGAUGAUGUGACCACGGCUGCCGCCGAUGAUAAACAGCACUCGUAGAAGAGUGCCGAUCCGCUUAGUGCGCUGCUAAUAGCCUGUGCGCUUAGUUUAUUGAUUAGCUUAAUACACUCGCAGAUUGUUGCAACAAAUACGUCGCCGAGCGACAGCAACAAGAACAAAUUGCGUCUCAUUUCCAUGUGCGCUUUUGGCGAGAAACCGAAUAGGCCUAGAGAGCAUCGAUUGCGGCGACGCAAAACCCAGCAGCAAUCAUUUAUUGAGCGCACGACGUAGCAAACCGACUCAGAUUUAAUGCCCUACAAGGCUACGAGUGCAUCGAUUCGCUGGGCAUGACCAAGGAUUACA
rnacentral:sRNA from 1 species